GUUAAUCAGUUUCAUCACACUCACCUGUGUCUCUGUCAUCAGUCUCACUCGUGUCACCUGGUGGCCUGUGUGUAUGUAUAUCUCUGUCCCUCACUCUGUCCUUUGGUUCAUUGUGGUAUGUCCCUUGACCGUGCCAUGCUGUUGUUUAUUAGUGUCCUGUCCGUCCCUUGUCCAUGCGUCUUCGAUGUUCCUGCCUGGUCUUUGAAUCCAGGAGCAUGAAUUCACCUACUGAAAGCAAUACAAGGCAGAAGAUUCUGGAAAGUCGUCAGUUAAAUCCCAGUGACAAAGCAAUGGAAUCCAUGAUGUUUUCUUCUUAUGGGCUACACUCAGAGAGUGGACACAACACCUAAGGCACAGGUCGAGUGGAAAAGGAAGUUAAAAGCACUGAAAACGUCUGUUUUUAGAAACGCAUCUCUAAAGGAAAGAGCAACUCACUUUUACGGUUUAUUGUUGUUAUAAAUAGAAAAUAAAUGGAAAAUAAAUCCAGUCUGUAAUUUGAAAUGGUCAAUUUACCGUUAAGCCGAAUUGAUGGUUGAAAGGUAUAACACAGAGUGUCUG